UUUAUUAUUACUUAAAAGUAUGUCUAUUCACUUUGUUUACUAUUCAAUUCAAGUUCAUUUUCCACCAUGAGGUGCAGGCUAAAUUUCUCAUAAGAUAGUGCUAAUUUGAUUACUUGCACUUUCCAAGAUACUUGAGCUUUGUAAAGGAAUAGGUGCCAUAUCUAAUUUGCUAAAGAAUAGAUGCUAUAUCUAAUUUCAUUAUGCAUAAUCAUAUAAAAAUUUUGGAGAUGAGCUACAUGAGUGUUUGUUAUUUGGAGUUCAGUAUCAGUACUUGAUUUAAA
rnacentral:lncRNA from 1 species